CACUCCUGCGGGAGGCAGCAGUAGGGAAUCUUCGGCAAUGGACGAAAGUCUGACCGAGCAACGCCGCGUGAGUGAAGAAGGUUUUCGGAUCGUAAAACUCUGUUGUUAGAGAAGAACAAGGAUGAGAGUAGAACGUUCAUCCCUUGACGGUAUCUAACCAGAAAGCCACGGCUAACUACGUGCCAGCAGCCACGGUAAUACGUAGGUGGCAAGCGUUGUCCGGAUUUAUUGGGCGUAAAGCGAGCGCAGGCGGUUUCUUAAGUCUGAUGUGAAAGCCCCCGGCUCAACCGGGGAGGGUCAUUGGAAACUGGGAGACUUGAGUGCAGAAGAGGAGAGUGGAAUUCCAUGUGUAGCGGUGAAAUGCGUAGAUAUAUGGAGGAACACCAGUGGCGAAGGCGGCUCUCUGGUCUGUAACUGACGCUGAGGCUCGAAAGCGUGGGGAGCGAACAGGAUUAGAAACCCGUGUAGUCCCA
rnacentral:rRNA from 1 species